GACGAACGCUGGCGGCGUGCCUAAUACAUGCAAGUAGAACGCUGAAGAGAGGAGCUUGCUCUUCUUGGAUGAGUUGCGAACGGGUGAGUAACGCGUAGGUAACCUGCCUUGUAGCGGGGGAUAACUAUUGGAAACGAUAGCUAAUACCGCAUAACAAUGGAUGACACAUGUCAUUUAUUUGAAAGGGGCAAUUGUUCCACUACAAGAUGGACCUGCGUUGUAUUAGCUAGUAGGUGAGGUAAUGGCUCACCUAGGCGACGAUACAUAGCCGACCUGAGAGGGUGAUCGGCCACACUGGGACUGAGACACGGCCCAGACUCCUACGGGAGGCAGCAGUAGGGAAUCUUCGGCAAUAGGGGCAACCCUGACCGAGCAACGCCGCGUGAGUGAAGAAGGUUUUCGGAUCGUAAAGCUCUGUUGUAAGUCAAGAACGGGUGUGAGAGUGGAAAGUUCACACUGUGACGGUAGCUUACCAGAAAGGGACGGCUAACUACGUG
rnacentral:rRNA from 1 species